GUCCAUCUCUACCUCCAUAUCCCUCUCUCUCCUCUCUAUCACUCUCUCGCAGAUGCCACAUCGCACCACACGCUCUGCCUUUCCACCUCUCUCUCUCUCUCGCUCUCUCUCUUUCUCUCUCGUCCGUCUGCUCUCUGCUCUCUCAUUCCCUCGGCCGGCUCGACGCCGGCUGUCACUUCAUUUGCUGCGGCGGAGCAACAACUGGCUUCUUUCAGCACCGGUAGUGAAGAGGGGAAGGCGAGAGCGGAGUGAAGAGUGGAAAAAGAAAAGUGUGAGGACGAGAGGGAGAAGAAGAGGAGGAGGAGGAGAUCUUUUGUUCAGCAUCCAUCCCUCCCGCCGUCCCUCUGGCAGCAGCAGCAGCAUCAGCACCGCUCCCGCUGCUGGAUCCUCCAUCUCCUGCCGGGAUCUGCCUCCUCCUUCUCCUCAGGGACCUGGGAGGGGGAGGGAGACCGCUGCCUCCCAGCACGCUGCGGACCCUUGGCGAGCCAUCAGGAGGAGAGGGAAUUGUGAGAAGAGGCCGUGAGGAAGAGCAGAGGAGAGGCAACACCCUGGGUUACAGGAGAGAAGAGGAGAGGAGAAGGAGAGAGGUUCUCAUCACGCACAGGUUAGUGCUGAGCCGGAGCGGCGAUGGCGGCGGCAACACCAGGGAAACCAAAUGUCCCCGCCGGAUGACGUCUUCCAGGACACCGGGGCAGCGCUGCCAGGCCGGGGCCCAGAGGAGCCAUUGAUGGAACCCUGCCUCACGCUGCAGCGAGGCAUCUUCAAUCAAUGCGACUGCCCCACUUUCUCUAGAUGUGUGUGUGUCCUAAUGCCACUGGAGCCUGAAGGGGGGCUGCUGAUGGCAGCAGCGAUGGCCAUGGUGGUGAUGAUGCGAUGGCGGUGCCGCUGCUCUCAUGCUUUCUGGCUUAGCUCCCCUUGUUUUCUGAAAGACUCUCUUCGGUGACGGGUAUUCUUGGGUGGAUAAUACGGAUCACGUUGUUAUUGCUUAAGAAUACGCGUAGUCGAGGAGAGUCCUCUCUUCGCCCAACACCAGCAACACCCCCCGACACCCACCCACCCACCUCACCCCACCCCGACAACCCACCCACCCACCCACCCACGGAGGACUGUCAGGAUGGGUAAAACCACGCCCACCACUCUCCACCCUUCCAAAAAGAGAAACUCACCUCUUCUUUGAUCUGUGCUGCAUUGCAUAUUCUUUCUCCCGCCCAUUUCCUGUGCUGAGCCACGGUUUGAGGUCCAGAUUGUCUUCACGUCUGUCCCAGCGUGCAUCUGUCAGUCUGUCUCUGUGGCAAUGGACAGCGUUGUGUUUUUGUCUUUUCUUUCUGUGUGUGUUUGUCUGUGUCUGUUGGACAUGUUGGAGGUUGUUCGGUCUCACACAGAUAUCUGGCUCUUUGUCUGACAACUUCUGAUCGUGUGUCUGCAUGAACAGUGUCUGUUCCCAUAUUGGCGGGCCUGCAUGUCAGCCCGCACAAUCACACACACACACACACACAUAUCAGGCCUAGUUAUUUCAUUGCAGACAAAUGAGUUGAGUAUUUAACAAGCAGAAACGUGAAUAUGUGCAGGGAGGCUGAACGCUUGACAGUGGGACAGUUUGAUCUGUGUAAACCUGUGCAUAGACACCCCCUUACAGCGCCUCUUUUGGAACAGCAGAGGCCCUGCGGCUGUGUCACCAUUGUAUUUCUAAGCCGACCUAAACCUGCUAGGGGCCUUGGGGCAACAAUGAACAAGUGGGCCCCCAUUAACCUCCCUUUCCACAUACCCUCUGUACAAUGUACAAUACCUGGCCCUAGGUUGAUCAUUUGAUUCAACACAAAUAAUUCAACAACAGAAAGUCCACAAAGUAGAUUUGGUCUUUGAGACCCGGCUCCAGGAUUAGGAAAUAAAGCAAGACCCACCUCAUGGCCCUUACCAUGUCAGUAGUGUACUUUAAUGUUGCAUUUUCUAUAUCAAAUUUACAAGUAACCACAAACCAGUUCAAACAGUGAGCCAGGAGAGUUGGGGCUGAUGCAGCUUGGGGGGGGGGGGGGCAGGGCAGUUGACUGCAUUGUGGUUAGUGAAGGACCCGAACCCUGACCCUACAGCUCCAGGCUUUCAUUUUCAUCAAAGAAAAAUCUAAUAUAUUUUUUUUACCUCCGUUGUUCCUCUGUAAUGAAUGACUUCUUAAUAAUUCCCUCGGAAGAGACAGCACGAUUCUUUUUCUUUUUUUAAUUUUGUAUUUUCAUUUUUGAAAUGUGAUUAAUCUCUUGAUUAGUUUUGUUCUAUAAAACAUCAGAUGAUAGGGACAACUGCCCUGAGCACUUGAUGAUGUAAUUUAGUCUUUAGCCCAAAGAUGAUCAACUUACCAUGAUAUAAAACAGGGCUGAAACUAACUAUUCUUUUAUUAUCCAAUAUCUGGAACUAUGUUGUGGAUUUAUGCGUUAUCACAUUAGUGUAGAAACUGUUCCAUAGUAGAGAACGGUUACCACAGUCCUUUUUGAUGCAUUCAGACAUGUCGUUGUGUCUGAAGCACUGUCCCAAAGACAUUCAGUCAUAUCAAAGAGAGAAAAGCAGCAAAUCCUCACUAACUGGAGCAACAAUGUUUUCCGCUGGAAUAAUGACUUUGUUUAUUAAAUUUGAUUUGAUAUGGACGUCACUGCAGCAUUACUACUGGAACUGUUUUGCACAAGGACCAGAUGUAAACACUAAUUUACAGCACCUGUCCAUGGGAGGAUUUUUUAAAAAGAGGUUCAGAUGAUGAUGUUGCUGAUUCUUUUUUCUGUAAAUCAACACAUUUGGCUCAAUUUAUGACACAUGAAUUAUCAAAUUACUGGCUGCAGCACCCCAAAGUCUAAACAUAUGGAUAUCUUCACAUGGAUAAGUAUGAGUAGCCCUAAUAUUUGAUAAGGAAGCAGUAGACAUUUUUUGGCUGAGCUUGUUGGGUGGAUCCUGAGCUGAGACCCCCCCCCUUCCAUCCCCCACGCUCCUUUUUUAUGCAAAUGCUGCUAUGCCAAAAUGACAUUUAACACAUUUUACAGGUUCAUGUCACAUGCAAUACAUCUGCUGCCUCUCCCACACAGCUACGCAAACAAAAUGUCCACCGUGAGCGGUCAACAAGAACUCACCUCAUGCAUUGAGAUGUGAGGCGUCUCGAUAAACAGCCCCCCC